AUUUAUAAGAAUAUGAUGUUGGUUCAGAUUAAGCGCUAAAUAAGGACAUGACACAUGCGAAUCAUACGUUUAUUAUUGAUAAGAUAAUAAAUAUGUGGUGUAAACGUGAGUAAUUUUAUUAGGAAUUAAUGAACUAUAGAAUAAGCUAAAUACUUAAUAUAUUAUUAUAUAAAAAUAAUUUAUAUAANAAAAAGGAUAUAUAUAUAAUAUAUAUUUAUCUAUAGUCAAGCCAAUAAUGGUUUAGGUAGUAGGUUUAUUAAGAGUUAAACCUAGCCAACGAUCCAUAAUCGAUAAUGAAAGUUAGAACGAUCACGUUGACUCUGAAAUAUAGUCAAUAUCUAUAAGAUACAGCAGUGAGGAAUAUUGGACAAUGAUCGAAAGAUUGAUCCAGUUACUUAUUAGGAUGAUAUANAAAAAAUAUUUUAUUUUAUUUAUAAAUAUUUAAUAUUUAUAAUAAUAAUAAUAAUAAUAUAUAUAUAUAAAUUGAUUAAAAAUAAAAUCCAUAAAUAAUUAAAAUAAUGAUAUUAAUUACCAUAUAUAUUUUAUAUGGAUAUAUAUAUUAAUAAUAAUAUUAAUUUAUUAUUAUUAAUAAUAUAUUUUAAUAGUCCUGACUAAUAUUUGUGCCAGCAGUCGCGGUAACACAAAGAGGGCGAGCGUUAAUCAUAAUGGUUUAAAGGAUCCGUAGAAUGAAUUAUAUAUUAUAAUUUAGAGUUAAUAAAAUUAAUUAAAGAAUUAUAAUAGUAAAGAUGAAAUAAUAAUAAUAAUUAUAAGACUAAUAUAUGUGAAAAUAUUAAUUAAAUAUUAACUGACAUUGAGGGAUUAAAACUAGAGUAGCGAAACGGAUUCGAUACCCGUGUAGUUCUAGUAGUAAACUAUGAAUACAAUUAUUUAUAGUAUAUAUUAUAUAUAAAUAAUAAAUGAAAAUGAAAGUAUUCCACCUGAAGAGUACGUUAGCAAUAAUGAAACUCAAAACAAUAGACGGUUACAGACUUAAGCAGUGGAGCAUGUUAUUUAAUUCGAUAAUCCACGACUAACCUUACCAUAUUUUGAAUAUUAUAAUAAUUAUUAUAAUUAUUAUAUUACAGGCGUUACAUUGUUGUCUUUAGUUCGUGCUGCAAAGUUUUAGAUUAAGUUCAUAAACGAACAAAACUCCAUAUAUAUAAUUUUAAUUAUAUAUAAUUUUAUAUUAUUUAUUAAUAUAAAGAAAGGAAUUAAGACAAAUCAUAAUGAUCCUUAUAAUAUGGGUAAUAGACGUGCUAUAAUAAAAUGAUAAUAAAAUUAUAUAAAAUAUAUUUAAUUAUAUUUAAUUAAUAAUAUAAAACAUUUUAAUUUUUAAUAUAUUUUUUUAUUAUAUAUUAAUAUGAAUUAUAAUCUGAAAUUCGAUUAUAUGAAAAAAGAAUUGCUAGUAAUACGUAAAUUAGUAUGUUACGGUGAAUAUUCUAACUGUUUCGCACUAAUCACUCAUCACGCGUUGAAACAUAUUAUUAUCUUAUUAUUUAUAUAAUAUUUUUUAAUAAAUAUUAAUAAUUAUUAAUUUAUAUUUAUUUAUAUCAGAAAUAAUAUGAAUUAAUGCGAAGUUGAAAUACAGUUACCGUAGGGGAACCUGCGGUGGGCUUAUAAAUAUC
rnacentral:ncRNA from 1 species